GUAGGUGGCAAGCGUUGUCCGGAAUUAUUGGGCGUAAAGCGCGCGCAGGUGGUUCUUUAAGUCUGAUGUGAAAGACCCCCGGGCUCAACCGGGGAGGGUCAUUGGAAACUGGGGAACUUGAGUGCAGGAGAGGAAAGUGGAAUUCCACGUGUAGCGGUGAAAUGCGUAGAUAUGUGGAGGAACACCAGUGGCGAAGGCGACUUUCUGGCCUGUAACUGACACUGAGGCGCGAAAGCGUGGGGAGCAAACAGGAUUAGACACCCUGGUAGUCCACGCCGUAAACGAUGAGUGCUAAGUGUUGGGGGGUUUCCGCCCCUCAGUGCUGCAGCUAACGCAUUAAGCACUCCGCCUGGGGAGUACGGUCGCAAAGACUG
rnacentral:rRNA from 1 species